GGAGAUGUAGCUCAGUGGUAAGUGCGCAUGCUCGGUAAGUAUGAGCACCCGGGUUCGAUCCCCGGCAUCUCCA